rnacentral:rRNA from 1 species
UACGAAGGGGGCGAGCGUUGUUCGGAAUUACUGGGCGUAAAGGGCGCGUAGGCGGCGACUCAAGUUAGAUGUGAAAGUCCUGGGCUUAACCUGGGGACUGCAUUUGAUACUGGGUUGCUUGAAUUCGGGAGAGGAUAGCGGAAUUCCCAGUGUAGAGGUGAAAUUCGUAGAUAUUGGGAAGAACACCGGUGGCGAAGGCGGCUAUCUGGACCGACAUUGACGCUGAGGCGCGAAAGCGUGGGGAGCAACAGG